rnacentral:rRNA from 1 species
UACAUGGGGUGCAAACGUUGUUCGGAAUUACUGGGCGUAAAGCGCACGUAGGCGGCUUUGUAAGUUAGAGGUGAAAGCCCGGGGCUCAACUCCGGAAUUGCCUUUAAGACUGCAUCGCUAGAAUUGUGGAGAGGUAAGUGGAAUUCCGAGUGUAGAGGUGAAAUUCGUAGAUAUUCGGAAGAACACCAGUGGCGAAGGCGACUUACUGGACACAUAUUGACGCUGAGGUGCGAAAGCGUGGGGAGCAAACAGG